UUCAAUUUUACUGCAUGGUUU
rnacentral:piRNA from 1 species